UUCAGUUUAUUUCUUAUUUAUUUAUUGUUCUUUUAUAAUGAUUUUGUGUUUUUUUAAAGUAUUUAUUACGAUUUAGGGUUCAUAUAUUUCGAUUUGGGUGUUUUUCGAAUUACUUAUUACAUUUUAGGGUUUUGUACUAAGAUUUGGGUUUUUUUUUCUUUUUUAUAAUUUUUAAUCUAAUUGUAUGAUUUAGGGUAUUUUAUAAUUUAUUUAGGUAUUUUAUGUGUAAUGUUAUAUGUAAUUUAAGUGUUCAAUUAAUGAUUUAGAACUCAGUUUUAUGAGCCCAAUUCGAUUAUUUCAUUUACUUUUAUGCUUAUAAUAUUUACUUUUGUACUUAUAUUAUUUACUUUUUGAAUUGAUAAUGAUUAAAUUUGCAUUUUGUUGUGUGGUGUUGAUGUUUAUGGCUGCCCUGGAGAGUUGUUGUUUGGUAGUAGCAACAAGGGCACUGCAGAUUGUUGUGGCCUUGGGCGUUAUGUGAAUGGUGUGGGUCUUUGUAAUCAGGAAGCGAGGUUGUGGUGUUGGCUGGUUGUUGUUGAGUGUUGAGUGCUUAAACUGCACAAACUGAAAGACAUUGACAGAGAGAUGCAUUCUGUUUUAUUUGAAAUUAGAAAAAGGGAAGAGGAGUGUGCUAAACUUGCGGGAGAAAUGAAGCAGCAUCCAAAAGUACCCUCUAGGAUCACUGAGAUUACAAAGAAAAGUCGGAAAUUGGACACAGAUAUUGAUCGCAUUUCGAAGGAAACAAGAGAGCUUAAGUUGGAGAGUAACUCAAUUGAGGAACACCUUCAUCGUACAUAUGUAGUGGUUGAUGAAACAAUAUUAACGUGAACACUCUAAAACAAUAUGUACUUUAUGUAGUGGUUUGUGAAACAAUAUUAAGGUCUCAAUAAAAUUUUUGGUGUUUUCUUUUAAUUGUCAUUAACUUAUGUAACUUUGGCCUUGCUCUCUUCACUUGCAUUUACUAACUGAUUACUUGGUUAGUUUUUUAAAUAAAAACUGUUUCGAAUGUC